CAGCAGUGAGGAAGGUGGGUAUGUUAAUAGCAUUACNCUAUUUGACGUUAGCUGCAGAAGAAGCACCGGCUAACUCGUCGCCAGCAGCCGACGGUAAUACGGGAGGGUGACGAGUACGUUUAAGACGGUAAUUACGUGGGACGUAAAGCGCAUGCAGGUUGGUUUAGUUAAGUCAAGAUGUAGAAACGGCCCGGGGCUACCAACCGUACGGUAAUUGCUAUUUAGAACGUGGACAAACUAGAGUACUGUAGGAGGGGGUAGAAUUUCAGGUGUAGCGGUGAAAUGCGUAGAGAUCUGAAGGAAUACCGGUGGCGAAGGCGGCCCCCUGGACAGAUACUGACACUCAGAUGCGAAAGCGUGGGGAGCAAACAGGAUUAGAUACCCUGGUAA
rnacentral:rRNA from 1 species